GAUUAUGUAAUUGGAGCACUGAGUGAUUGAAUUAUAUGAAGAGUUAUUGGAAGAUUAUGAUUGUUAUUUAUUGAGAGCUCUGUGUGUUUUGACAGAAGAAGUUUGUGAUUACAAAAAUUAUGCGAAUUUAGAUUGUUGGAGUGAAGUCUAUUAUUUCUAGUGUUGGAUGGAAAUUAUUGUAUUUUGAGCGGUCUUUUGAGAGUGCAGGGUUGUACACUAUAGUUAUCAGUUGAUAAAGGAAUAUUGUUAAUGGGAGAAAGCAUUGUAGUAUUUAUUAGUAUUUUAGUGGUUUAGAAUAUGGUUAAUUGUGUGAUCCUAAUAAGUAAAACUCAUGCACUUAGUCUUUCCUUGUCUUUGAAUUCCCAUAUACAAGUUUAUUUAGAAAGA
rnacentral:lncRNA from 1 species